AGGCCGAUUUCCAGUGCGUCAAUCGCUAUUUCUCUCGUACGUUAGUUACUCUCUUGGACGCCUUAACUCCCUCGCCCCAUUUUCUUGGCGCCGCGAUUGAAGCUUGCCUCCGCCAGGCCAUUGCCUGGAAAUCGUUGCGAUAGAGAUUUGUGCCACUGUCACCGUGCCCUCGCCGACGUCAACGUACCCCGCCUCCAUCGUCGACGUCGCUACUGCCACUGUGUCCUAUUGUCGCCCCCUUCGUUCUUAUUAGUUCAAUGCUAAUGGAAAGUACUCAAGUAAAGAGAUAGAUGAAGUGCGAUCACAGUGGACGGAUUGUGUUUAAGAACAUAUAAAGGAGUAGAAGGAUAUAUGGUGAAGGCAAAGAAGAUAACAUUGGAUAUAUUGGUUGAUGCAUCACAUAUUGAAGGAACGAAGGAGCUACAAGUGUUAACUCGUUUGAAUGUUAGAUUGAACUUAUUUGGUGGUGGAUCCACAAAUGUUAACUCCUUUUAUUUAUAGUUAUUGUUAGGAUUUAACUUAUUUUAUAAUGGAUGUGGUAGAAUUGAUUGGGUUGAAUUUAAAGUUGUAAUGAAUGUUGAAAUUUUAUUAUGAUUAUGGUAUAAAGGAAAAUUAUUUUA